rnacentral:misc_RNA from 1 species
AAGUCGUAACAAGGUUUCCGUAGGUGAACCUGCGGAAGGAUCAUUACAUUCAGUAGCCUAGCUACUUGUUUACACCCUUGUUUUUGCGUACCUAUUGUUUCCUCGGCGGGCUUGCCCCCCGCUAGGACCCUUUAUCAAACCUUUUUGUAAUAGCAGUCAGCGUCUGAUACUAAGUUAAUUAUUAAAACUUUCAACAAUGGAUCUCUUGGUUCUG